UACGAACGGUCCAAACGUUAUUCGGAAUCACUGGGCUUAAAGCGUCCGUAGGCGGCUCGGAAAGUAGGGUGUGAAAUCCCACGGCUCAACCGUGGAAUUGCGCUCUAAACUGUCGAGCUAGAGGGAGAUAGAGGUGAGCGGAACUGAUGGUGGAGCGGUGAAAUGCGUUGAUAUCAGCAGGAACACCGGAGGCGAAGGCGGCUCACUGGGUCUUUUCUGACGCUGAGGGACGAAAGCGAGGGGAGCGAACGGG
rnacentral:rRNA from 1 species